rnacentral:tRNA from 1 species
GGAACGGUGGCCGAGUGGCUGAAGGCGGCGGUUUGCUAAACCGUUAUACGCGGGUCAACUGCGUAUCGGGGGUUCGAAUCCCCCCCGUUCCGCCA